CUCGCGCGGGGGCUACUGCAUCGCCCCCCUCGGGGGGGGGGGCGGGCGUGGUGCUCCUCGCCGCCUCGGCUGCGCCGCGCCCUCCAGCCUGGGCUCCUCGCUGCUGCCCGCGGCCCGCAGGAGUUAGAGCAGACUGCCCCCGCGGGACACGGUGCAUCCCGCCCCGGCCCUCCUACCCGCUCUGCGGGAGGGGUCGGCACACGCCGCACCCCUCCGCUACGAGGGGGGUUGGUUUGCCCCGCUCGGGACACGCUGGGAGGCGGCUGGGCGGCCUCGGCGCGCGCGAUGAGAGCAAUGGAAAUCUGCCGGCAUGAUCAGCACAUGAUGUCCCAAGAGCAUGAGCUCUAGUGCAUUUGUACGGUAUCCAUCAGUCAGGAUUUUGCUGGCAGCUCUCAAGCUCAUAGAUUCAGGCAUGUGGUGAAAUCCCCAGCAUGAAAACGGCUUGCAGGAAAAGGUUACAAAGCCCUGAUGCCCUAGCUGUCCUGCAGUUUCCUCCGUGAGCUCUCUUCAAUGGAGUGCUGAAGAAGAGGAUGCUGAGACCCAGUGCAACACAGUGGACUUCGUGGGGAAGAACUCUAAAUACAGUUCAAGAAAACCUGGAAGAGUUAGGAGUCAUGGAGAAGCUUCAAGAAGAAUCAGGGUGCUAUAUGGCACCCACUUGAAGAAUUAUUGGAACCAGCCUGAGACCAGUGGCAUUCUGUACAGAAUAAGAUUUCUCUGUAAAAAAUAGAAACCUAUAGAAAAGAUGGAAUAUUAUUAUAGAAAAGAUGGAAUAUUAAGCUUGAAAAGUCAUGUGGUGACACUCAGAAGCUGCUUUUAACUAUAUUGUGGCAGUGUAUGGCAAUGUCUAUGUAGACAAAAAAAUAAAGAUUUUUUUUUCUUUUUAA